CGUCCGGAAGCUUACCAUGCAAGUCGACGGAUCUUCGGAUUUAGUGGCGGACGGGUGAGUAACGCGUGAGAAUCUAGCUCUAGGUCGGGGACAACCACUGGAAACGGUGGCUAAUACCGGAUGUGCCGAAAGGUGAAAGAUUUAUUGCCUAGAGAUGAGCUCGCGUCUGAUUAGCUAGUUGGUGUGGUAAGAGCGCACCAAGGCGACGAUCAGUAGCUGGUCUGAGAGGAUGAUCAGCCACACUGGGACUGAGACACGGCCCAGACUCCUACGGGAGGCAGCAGUGGGGAAUUUUCCGCAAUGGGCGAAAGCCUGACGGAGCAAUACCGCGUGAGGGAGGAAGGCUCUUGGGUUGUAAACCUCUUUUCUCAGGGAAUAAGAAAGUGAAGGUACCUGAGGAAUAAGCAUCGGCUAACUCCGUGCCAGCAGCCGCGGUAAUACGGAGGAUGCAAGCGUUAUCCGGAAUGAUUGGGCGUAAAGCGUCCGCAGGUGGCACUGUAAGUCUGCUGUUAAAGAGCAAGGCUCAACCUUGUAAAGGCAGUGGAAACUACAGAGCUAGAGUACGUUCGGGGCAGAGGGAAUUCCUGGUGUAGCGGUGAAAUGCGUAGAAAUA
rnacentral:rRNA from 1 species